CGGCGCCGUUCAGUGAAUAAUCAUUUCCUACAGAGCCGGAGAUACAGUUGAGAAUAAAAUAUACAAGUGAGAGAAUUGACAAAGCCACCUCAAGGAGACAUAUUUAGGAAAACUUAAUCUAACAGAAGACAUCUACUUGAAAACAAUAGAAAAUUCCUACAGUGGCUGUAUAGUGUGUGAAAUGAGUUAAAAGAAGUGAAUUAUAUAAAGUAAAUUAAAGGACUACAAUCAAGAGUUUUAUGUAUAUAAAUUUAGCAAUAAGGAACAAAAGAAAGGAUGGAGUAAAUUUUACUAUGAAUUAAGCGUUAUAGUAUAUAAUAUAAAAAUCGAAAAUUUUUAAUGAAGGU